rnacentral:tRNA from 1 species
UUAAUUGAAACCAAAAAUAGAGGUGUAUUACUGUUAAUAAUAUUAAUGAAAUUUAUUUCCAAUUAAG